rnacentral:rRNA from 1 species
CAGUCGCCGCGGUAAUACGAAGGGGGCUAGCGUUGUUCGGAUUUACUGGGCGUAAAGCGCACGUAGGCGGACUUUUAAGUCAGGGGUGAAAUCCCGGGGCUCAACCCCGGAACUGCCUUUGAUACUGGAAGUCUUGAGUAUGGUAGAGGUGAGUGGAAUUCCGAGUGUAGAGGUGAAAUUCGUAGAUAUUCGGAGGAACACCAGUGGCGAAGGCGGCUCACUGGACCAUUACUGACGCUGAGGUGCAAAAGCGUGGGGAGCAAACAGGAUUAGAUACCCCGGUAGUCCCUGUCUCUUAUAC